GCCUGGGUGGCUCAGUUGGUUGAGCAUCUGACUUCAGCUCAGGUCAUGAUCUCGCAGUUUGUGAGUUCGAGCCCUGCGUCAGGCU
rnacentral:tRNA from 1 species